UACGAAGGGGGCUAGCGUUGUUCGGAAUCACUGGGCGUAAAGCGAACGCAGGCGGAUCGAUAAGUCGGGGGUGAAAGCCCGGGGCUCAACCUCGGAAUUGCCUUAGAUACUCUCGGUCUCGAGUCCGGGAGAGGUGAGUGGAAUUCCUAGUGUAGAGGUGAAAUUCGUAGAUAUUAGGAAGAAAACCAGUGGCGAAGGCGGCUCACUGGCCCGGUACUGACGCUCAGGUGCGAAAGCGUGGGGAGCAAACAGG
rnacentral:rRNA from 1 species